rnacentral:rRNA from 1 species
AUUGAACGCUGGCGGCAGGCCUAACACAUGCAAGUCGAACGGUAACAGGAAACAGCUUGCUGUUUCGCUGACGAGUGGCGGACGGGUGAGUAAUGUCUGGGAAACUGCCUGAUGGAGGGGGAUAACUCCUGGAAACGGUAGCUAAUACCGCAUAACGUAGCAAAACCAAAGAGGGGGACCUUCGGGCCCAUUGCCAUCGGAUGCGCCCAGAUGGGAUUAGCUAGUAGGUGGGGUAACGGCUCACCUAGGCGACGAUCCCUAGCUGGUCUGAGAGGAUGACCAGCCACACUGGAACUGAGACACGGUCCAGACUCCGACGGGAGGCAGCAGUGGGGAAUAUUGCACAAUGGGCGCAAGCCUGAUGCAGCCAUGUCGCGUGUAUGAAGAAGGCCUUCGGGUUGUAAAGUACUUUCAGCGGGGAGGAAGGGAGUAAAGUUAAUACCUUUGCUCAUUGACGUUACCCGCAGAAGAAGCACCGGCUAACUCCGUGCCAGCAGCCGCGGUAA